rnacentral:rRNA from 1 species
GUACACGCUGUGACUAGCAUAUCAAUAAGCGGAGGAAAAGAAACUAACAAGGAUUCCCCUAGUAACGGCGAGUGAAGCGGGAAGAGCUCAAAUUUGAAAUCUUAAAGGGUUUCCCUUUACGAAUUGUAGUUUAAAGAAGUGUUUUCUGUUGAGGUUUUGGUAAAAGUUCUUUGGAAUAGGACAUCAUAGAGGGUGAGAAUCCCGUAUUUGACCUUUACUUUCAACUUUGUGAUACACUUUCAAAGAGUCGGAUUGUUUGGGAAUGCAGUCCAAAAUGGGUGGUAAAUUUCAUCUAAAGCUAAAUAUUGGCGAGAGACCGAUAGCGAACAAGUACCGUGAGGGAAAGAUGAAAAGAACUUUGAAAAGAGAGUUAAACAGUACGUGAAAUUGUCAAAAGGGAAGCGUUUGACACCAGUGUUGUUUUUCUGAAAAUCAAUUAAAGAACUGUUUAUGCUAAGCUGUUUAGACUUUAUCAGCUAUACUGUUUAGUUUUGAGCUUUUCUUUAAUGCACUUUUCAGUUAACAAGUCAACAUCAAUUUCUUUUGCUGUAAAAAAGCUUGAGGAAGGUGGCUUGAGAUUCGUCUUAAGUGUUUAUAGCCUCUUGCCUAUGCAGUCGGAGAGAUUGAGGUCUGCAGCGUAGAUCCUUCGGGGCUAAAUGCAUUUGUGCUAAGUUAUAGCAUUUCAUAGACAACUUGUUGACUAUGAUUUGUCUUGUAGCUUACUCGCUUAUGUUAUUUUACCUACGCUUAGGAUGUUGACGCGCGUGUGUGCGUG